rnacentral:rRNA from 1 species
CUUUUGUAUAAUGGGUCAGCGACUUAUAUUCUGUAGCAAGGUUAACCGUAUAGGGGAGCCGAAGGGAAACCGAGUCUUAACCGGGCGUUAAGUUGCAGGGUAUAGACCCGAAACCCGGUGAUCUAGCCAUGGGCAGGUUGAAGGUUGGGUAACACUAACUGGAGGACCGAACCGACUAAUGUUGAAAAAUUAGCGGAUGACCUGUGGCUGGGGGUGAAAGGCCAAUCAAACCGGGAGAUAGCUGGUUCUCCCCGAAAGCUAUUUAGGUAGCGCCUCGUGAAUUCAUCUCCGGGGGUAGAGCACUGUUUCGGCUAGGGGGCCAUCCCGGCUUACCAACCCGAUGCAAACUGCGAAUACCGGAGAAUGUUAUCACGGGAGACACACGGCGGGUGCUAACGUCCGUCGUGAAGAGGGAAACAACCCAGACCGCCAGCUAAGGUCCCAAAGUCAUGGUUAAGUGGGAAACGAUGUGGGAAGGCCCAGACAGCCAGGAUGUUGGCUUAGAAGCAGCCAUCAUUUAAAGAAAGCGUAAUAGCUCACUGGUCGAGUCGGCCUGCGCGGAAGAUGUAACGGGGCUAAACCAUGCACCGAAGCUGCGGCAGCGAACGUAUCACUUAAAGCGAUUCAGCGGGUUACGAUUGACGGAGCGAAGCGACGUCAAAGCGUAUACAAAGUCGAGUCGGUUUAAGGAUACGUUCGUUGGGUAGGGGAGCGUUCUGUAAGCCUGUGAAGGUGUGUCGUGAGGCAUGCUGGAGGUAUCAGAAGUGCGAAUGCUGACAUAAGUAACGAUAAAGCGGGUGAAAAGCCCGCUCGCCGGAAGACCAAGGGUUCCUGUCCAACGUUAAUCGGGGCAGGGUGAGUCGACCCCUAAGGCGAGGCCGAAAGGCGUAGUCGAUGGGAAACGGGUUAAUAUUCCCGUACUUGGUGUUACUGCGAAGGGGGGACGGAGAAGGCUAUGUUGGCCGGGCGACGGUUGUCCCGGUUUAAGCGUGUAGGUGUGUGUUCCAGGUAAAUCCGGUUCACUUUAACACUGAGGCGUGACGACGAGGCACUACGGUGCUGAAGCAACAAAUGCCCUGCUUCCAGGAAAAGCCUCUAAGCAUCAGGUAACAUCAAAUCGUACCCCAAACCGACACAGGUGGUCAGGUAGAGAAUACCAAGGCGCUUGAGAGAACUCGGGUGAAGGAACUAGGCAAAAUGGUGCCGUAACUUCGGGAGAAGGCACGCUGACACGUAGGUGAAGUGAUUUACUCAUGGAGCUGAAGUCAGUCGAAGAUACCAGCUGGCUGCAACUGUUUAUUAAAAACACAGCACUGUGCAAACACGAAAGUGGACGUAUACGGUGUGACGCCUGCCCGGUGCCGGAAGGUUAAUUGAUGGGGUCAGCGCAAGCGAAGCUCCUGAUCGAAGCCCCGGUAAACGGCGGCCGUAACUAUAACGGUCCUAAGGUAGCGAAAUUCCUUGUCGGGUAAGUUCCGACCUGCACGAAUGGCGUAAUGAUGGCCAGGCUGUCUCCACCCGAGACUCAGUGAAAUUGAACUCGCUGUGAAGAUGCAGUGUACCCGCGGCAAGACGGAAAGACCCCGUGAACCUUUACUAUAGCUUGACACUGAACAUUGAGCCUUGAUGUGUAG